rnacentral:rRNA from 1 species
AGGAUAAACGCUGGCGGCGUGCCUAAUACAUGCAAGUCGAGCGGCAGCGCGGUCUUCGGACUGGCGGCGAGCGGCGGACGGCUGAGUAACACGUAGGAACGUACCCCAAAGUGAGGGAUAAGCACCAGAAAUGGUGUCUAAUACCGCAUGUGCUCUAAGGAGUAAAGCUUCGGCGCUUUGGGAACGGCCUACGCAUGAUUAGCUAGUUGGUGAGGUAAUGGCUCACCAAGGCGACGAUCGGUAGCUGGUCUGAGAGGAUGACCAGCAUCACUGGGACUGAGACACGGCCCAGACUCCUACGGGAGGCAGCAGUGGGGAAUAUUGGACAAUGGGCGCAAGCCUGAUCCAGCAAUGCCGCGUGAGUGAAGAAGGUCUUCGGAUUGUAAAGCUCUUUCGACGGGGACGAUGAUGACGGUACCCGUAGAGAGCCCCGGCUAACUUCGUGCCAGCAGCCGC